AUCGUUCAUCCUAAAAGGACGGAAGUAAGCAUCAGCUGAAGGAACGCACC
rnacentral:ncRNA from 10 species